UUGAGGCAAAACAGGACUUGUCCAGGCCAAAGCAGUGCCAGCAGCAACAGCUCCCAAGCAAACUUUAAAGCUGCCACAUAUUGACGAGUUUUUGAGGUCUUUACCACACCAUCCUGCAGAGGAUCAUAGAGCAUUGGAUUGUGAGACGUGGGAUCGCCAUCUUCUUGACUUACAGUCUGCAGGAACCGAAAAAAAAACAACAAAAAAAUAUAAAUAUUAAUAAGUUUGAUCUACGAUAACAAAACGGAAACCAACAAAAAAUGUCGCUAAGUCGUUUAAUAAGACAACUUAAGACACUAUUAAGUUGGGUAUUUAAUAUGUUUUUAAUGUUCAUUGCUGUUUUGGAAGCCUAUCAAACAACUGCCCAAGUGAUGGGAAAAUUAACCAACCGUAAGAUACCACUAGUCGGCAAUUUAAAAGACAAAACGCAAUGGGCAAAUAUCAGAAGGAAGAACAAAAAUAAAAAUAAAUAAAAUGGAAUGAUUUUUCUUCCUCCUGAAAAUUGUGCGAAACGAAAAUCUUGCCUUUACCUGCCACCAACGCGCCAUGGCGCGUACUACUUUAUCCGAAUCCAUUUGUUCUUUUCUAGGUUGAUUUCCGGGUUCUCUCACACACCCACACCCACACACACGCACAAAGAUCUUAUAUAAGAGGAUUAACGCACACACAAAAGGCACCUUGCCUUUGAUUUUUUGCUUCUUUAGUCGAUCUUAAUUUGUUGACACUAUUUUUUAUGAUUUAUUUUUAUUCCUAUAUGUACAUAUAGAUAUACAAACUAUUUUAAAAAAGAAACAUAGCUAUAAGUAUAUAUCUAUUUGUUUUGCGCGUAUAUAAGUUUAUAUUUUUAUUCCGCUAAUUUUAGUGAGUGUUGUGGCAAAUGUUUUGGCCCAACUGGCCGCCUCAAAACGACUGAAGCGUUGGACUCUUCGAAAAAAGAAACACAAACUAAAAACAACA